UGUCAGAUUAUUAUUAUUCUUU
rnacentral:snRNA from 1 species